CGAGCUGACCAGACUUGGGCCAGAGCUGGGAGUCCCCACCCCUGUCCUUUUCAGCCUUUGCGCCGCUAGUUAGGAGCCCGACCGCCCGGCGCCCCUGACCUUCUUAGUGAACUGAACUUCUGAGGCCUGCGGGCCUCGGCCGGGCAGCACCUGCGCUCCCGGGUGGACCCUCGUCAGAGUCCAGAGACAGGCCUGGGCGCCGGCGCCUGGCCCGCCCCCCCUGCUCUGCAGGACCUCCCGGCCACCUCGUUUUCUCUCAGCCUGGGCCCCCGGGAGUUUGUGGCUGUGAGACUAAGCUCCUUCCUUCCUCCCUGGAGAAUGGAGCUUCAUUCAUUCAUUCUCAGCGUCGCUUCCACCAGGCGCGGUGCUGGACACGGGGAGGCAGACAAGGUGUUCACUGAACUCCUAUCAUGUACCCAGAGCUGAAGAUUCAAUGUUGAAGAAAAGAGACAAAGUUUACAGUCCAGAAAGGAGGUCAGAUAAAGAAACAAGUAUCUUCCAUAGAGCCCAGACUGAUGUUGCUCUGAUAAGAGACAGGGGACGACUCCAGGACCAGAUGGGAGGGCUACCAACCUGGACCCAGGGUGUCAGGGUCUCCAGCAUCCGAGAUACCAUCGUUUGCGAACAGAGAGAGCUCGACUUCUUCCUGUCUGACCUGGAUGCCUUGUAUUUCUUUUUCUGGCCUCGUUGCUCUGACAAGCACCUGUAGAACUGUGCUGAAGUGACGAGAGAGGGAUCUUUGCCGUGUUCCUGAUGUGAGAGGAGAGGUUUCUGUUUUUCACUGUUGAGUAUGGCCUUUAUUAUGAAGAGGUCCAACAACAGGUGGCAAAAGAGGGCAACUGCAGAGCUUCACCGGGUGUUGGAAAAGGCUUUUGUUCGGCUUCUCAUGCAAAAUAGGAUUUCUUGCGAAGGUCAGGAGUCCCUGCAAAGCAGCGCCAGGGCACUGUAAGCAGAUGCUCAUUGCACUGUGUACUGAAGGCAACACCCGCAGAAAAGACACCUGCGCUCCUACCUGAAAGGUCUGGGCAAUGUCACCUGGGGAACUUAAACAUUUGAGCAAUAAACUGGUGGCCACUCUAUGAAUUUUGACAAGAGCAUGGAAUCCUUGUAACCACCACCACAAUCAAGAUACAGAAGAGGUCCACACGGCAGGCCCCUCAAAAAAAUUCUCUCCAGCUACCUCUUUGUAGUCAAGCCCUUGCUCCACCCUAAACUCUUGGCAACCGUGGAUUUGCUUUCUGUCCCUAUAGUUUUGCCUUUUCCAGGAUGUCAUAUAAAUGGAAUCAUGUACGUUUGAGUCUCGCUUCUUUCACUUAGCGUAAUGCAUUUGAGAUUCACCUGUGCUGUUGUAUAGCUCAACAGUUUGUCCCCUUUUAUUGCUGAAUAGUUGUCCAUUACACGAAUGUAUCACAGUUGUUUUGUUUUUGUCUUUUUUUCAUUCAUUCCCCAGUUGAGGGAUUUUUGGGUUGUUUCCCAGUUUUGGUGAUUAUGGAUAAAGCAGCAAUAAACAUUCAAUACAGGUUUUUCAUGCAAACGUAGAUUUUCAUUACAUUUGGGUAAAUAUCUAGAAGUGGGACAACUAAGUCAUAUGGAAGUGUAUGUUUAACUUUAAAAGAAAAUGACAAAGAACUUUCCAAAGUGGCUAUUUUGAUACUUGCCAGCAAUGUGUAAGAGUUCCAGUUACUCCGAGUCCUUACCUCUUGUGUGUUGUGGAUGUGUUCUGUCAUGCUGAUAGCUACGUCAUGUUAAAAAAGAAAAAAAGCAACAGGCCUAAAAUGGAAUCAGCUGCGCUAAGUCCCAUGUCAGCAAACCAAGACUCACUACCUAACCCAGUCACAGUCUCAACCUCCCCCAGGAAUGUAAUUUUAACUGGUCAGUCUGGAAUUUCCUGGUUAGCAUUAGUGAGGUAAUCCCCAGAGACCCCUUCCAUCCCCCAAAGGAGUCUCCUCCUGAGCCUGAAACUCUCCACUCUUUGCUAGAAAUUUCCCUUUCUCAUCCCCUUUCUGUCUUUAAAAACCU